AGUUCGGAUUGUAGUCUGCAACUCGACUACAUGAAGCUGGAAUCGCUAGUAAUCGCGAAUCAGAAUGUCGCGGUGAAUACGUUCCCGGGUCUUGUACACACCGCCCGUCACACCAUGGGAGUCGGAAAUGCCCGAAGUCAGUGACCCAACCGAAAGGAGGGAGCUGCCGAAGGUGGAGCCGGUAACUGGGGUGAAGUCGUAACAAGGUAAC
rnacentral:rRNA from 1 species